UACGAAGGGUGCAAGCGUUACUCGGAAUUACUGGGCGUAAAGCGUGCGUAGGUGGUGAGUUAAGUCUGUCGUGAAAGCCCCGGGCUCAACCUGGGAAUGGCGAUGGAUACUGGCUCGCUAGAGUGCGGUAGAGGAGAGUGGAAUUCCCGGUGUAGCAGUGAAAUGCGUAGAUAUCAGGAGGAACACCGAUGGCGAAGGCAGGUCUCUGGGCAUUAACUGACGCUGAGGAGCGAAAGCAUGGGGAGCGAACAGG
rnacentral:rRNA from 1 species